rnacentral:scRNA from 1 species
AUGUGCGGCCCCUUCUCCUUCGGUGACUACUC